GUCUAUGGCCAUGUCACCCUGAACAAGCCCAAUGUCUGAUCUCAGAAGCUAAGCAGGGUCGGGCCUGGUUAGUACUUGGAUGGGAGACCACCCAGGAAGACCAGGUGCUGUAGGCA
rnacentral:rRNA from 1 species